rnacentral:rRNA from 1 species
AUUGAACGCUGGCGGCAUGAUUUACACAUGCAAGUCGAACGGUAACAGGCCGCAAGGUGCUGACGAGUGGCGAACGGGUGAGUAAUGCAUCGGAACGUGCCCAGUCGUGGGGGAUAACUACUCGAAAGAGUAGCUAAUACCGCAUACGAUCUAUGGAUGAAAUCGGGGGACCGUAAGGCCUCGCGCGAUUGGAGCGGCCGAUGUCAGAUUAGGUAGUUGGUGGGGUAAAGGCUCACCAAGCCAACGAUCUGUAGCUGGUCUGAGAGGACGACCAGCCACACUGGGACUGAGACACGGCCCAGACUCCUACGGGAGGCAGCAGUGGGGAAUUUUGGACAAUGGGCGCAAGCCUGAUCCAGCAAUGCCGCGUGCAGGAAGAAGGCCUUCGGGUUGUAAACUGCUUUUGUACGGAACGAAACGGCUCUGGUUAAUACCCGGGGCUAAUGACGGUACCGUAAGAAUAAGCACCGGCUAACUACGUG